UGGCUCCAUGUGUGUGUGUGUGUGUGCAGUGGCUCCGUGUGUGUGUGUGUGUGUUUGCUCCGUGUGUGUGCAUGCUUUUGUGCGUGUGUGCACUGUCCCCGUGUGUUGUUGACAUGUGACAUGAGUUCCUCUCUACAUCUGAAUGCAGUACCAGUCAGCUUCACUCACCAAGCAUUGGUCUGAUAAUUGACCCUUGAUCCCCGUGGCAGAGCGAAGGCAAGGCUCCGAUAGGCCCCUCCGUCCCUCGCCUCGUCCCCCCUGCGGUGAGACGCCUGUCGGGGGGAGCCUCCAGGUUAGCUCUGAUAUAUGAUCACAUGGAGGGCAGCCUAUUAGCCGCAAGCGCUCACUUAGCGUCACAGUGGCGAAGCCCGCGGUUAAGACAAGGACGCCACCGUAGGUAAAGCCUCCCACCCCCUGGUGGCGCGCUGCCCGCUGCUCCAACCAGCCCCUAAGUGCCUCCGACAGGUGGAAGGAAUGGAAAUGGCCUUGUUCUGUAUGGCGUAUGUGUGUGUGUGUGUGUGUGUGUGUGUGUGUGUGUGUGUGUGUGUGUGUGUGUGUGUGUGUGUGUGUGUGUGUGUGUCAUGGGGCGUUUGGCUGUGUGUGCGAGCGUCCAAGUUUGCGUGUGUGUUUGUAGUUCUGUGAGUGUGUGUGUGUGUCUAUGUUUCUGUGUGUGUGUGUGUUUGUGUGAUUUUGUGAGUGUGUGUGUGUGUAUGUAUGUGUGUGUGUGUGUUUUUGUUUGUGUGAGAGUGUGUAUGUUUGUGUUUGUGAGAGAGUGUGUGCGUGUGUGUGAGUGUGUCCCUGUGUGUUUGUGUGUGAGGGAGUGUGUGAGAGAUUGCGUGUGUGUGUAUAUGUGUGUGUGUUUGUGUUUGCGUGUGUAUGUGUCUGUUUGUGUGGCUGACAGUGUUUGUGAGUGUGUGUCUGAGAGAGAAUGUGUGUGUGUGUGUGUGUAUGUGUGUGUGUGUGUGUGUGUGUUUGUGUGUGUGUGUGUGUGUGUGUGUGUGUGUGUGUGUGUGUGUGUGUGUGUGUGUGCGUGUGUGUGUGUGUGUGUGUGUGUGUGUGUGUGUGUGUGUGUGUGUGUGUGUGCGCGUGUGUGUGUGUGUGUGUGUGUGUGUGUGUGUGUGUGUGUGUGUGUGUGUGUGUGUGUGCGUGUGUGUGUGUGUGUGUGUGUGUGUGUGUGUGUGUGUGUGUGUGGGUGGGUGUGUGAGAGGGUCCUGGGAGUUGGGAGGGUGGGAGCUUUUACAUUUCCUUUUCUUUCAGUAUUUUUUGGUUUCACUCAACCAGCCUGGGAAUGAAGGGCAAAUGCUAUGACUAUUGUCUGGUAAUUCACCUUUUGUUUAAUGUUUUUGGCAUACGAAGGAAACAUAAUUUAUUCGAAAAAAGAAAAACGCACACGAGCGAAGAAGGCGACUCAACGUGCACCGCUUUCCAAAACGUUUUAUUUCUUUUUUUGUGUUCAAACUGAAUUGUGCUGGUAUUGUGCGAUGGUUGGAAUGGAAAUGGAGGCCACCGACAAAAGGCUUUCUCUGUACUGUUAUAAAGCGCUGAGCACUUAUCCAACUGGUAGGCUGGUUGUUGUAAGGAGGACCAAGGUCAGAACCAGAGAAAGCAUCAGAACCCAGCCAGGCAUUGGAUGCGGCCCUGGGCUGAACACGCUCCCCUCAUUGUGCCUCCAGUGGGAGGAGAAGGGAAGGAGAAGACAAGAACAAUCAUCCUUAUUCUGAGAUCCUCAAUGGCAAUGCUGAUAAGCAUCUCAAAGUUUGUUGCACAACCCAACUUUUAAGCACUUUUGAUGAAUUGAGUUGAAAUGAAACUAUUGCAGAUGUUACAAUAACGCACCACUGCUAUAAGAAAAAGGGGCAAAAGAUGGGACUAAGAUUGUGUUGUGAUGCUUAAAGCUGCAGCAAUUGUUAACAAAUAUUUUCAUGACGUAAUUCUACUCUUUUACUCUUUUUAGCUCCAACUUAGAUUGUAUGCUUUGAUGGUUCUCAAGCCUGUUUUACUGUUGAUAAUCACAUCUGCUUAAUGCAAAACGGACACUCUCCAAACUCUGCUAAUGCGAAUACACUCAGAGUAAGGCUUAAAGGGCCAGGACGAGAUUGUUGACUGUGGAUCAUCUAGUAUUCAUGCGGUAACAUAUGCAUCCAGUUUGUGACGGUGUUUGUGUGUAUGUGUGUGUUUGUGUGUGUGUGUGUGAGCGUGUGCAUGUGUGUGUGUGUGUGUGCUUGUGCGUGCGUGUGCGUGUGCGUGCAUGUCUGUGUGUACACUACAGGCUGCUGUCUCCAUAAGUCCGGUCCAGGUGACACUGUAAUUAUGGCUUUGGUUUGACCAAGGAUAGCGCUAUAGGCUUAUUAGCGAGGGCUUGGCUCUAUGUUUGUCUUUCUCUAUAGGAUUUGCAGAUCAAGGUUGUGUGUAUAUCUUUCAGGGUUCAUAUGCACUGCGCUGCAUUGUUUAUCGCUGUGUUUAUGUGUGUGUGUGUGUGUGUGUGUGUGUGUGUGUGUGUGUGUGUGUGUGUGUGUGUGUGUGUGUGUGUGUGUGUGUGUGUGUGUGUGUGUGUGUGUGUGUGUGUGUGUUUAUGUGUGCGUGUGUCUGUGUGUUUACUACUGUGAACCAAUAGCGAUUGGAACCUGCUCAUGUACACACAAACUGUAUACACACACACACACAAACACACACACACAAACUGUAUACACACACACACACACACACACACACACACACACACACACACACACACACACACACACACACACACACACACACACACACACACAUACACACACACACAAUCUUUGCUGUCAUUUCUUGGUCAAUUAGAAUAAUGUAAAGUCCAGCCCUGAAGAGGAGGGGGUUCAGAGAGGAUGCUGGGAUAUUUCCAGUGGUGACACCAGGAGCAGUGGGAGAGCAGGGCUGCUGGAGGACAGACAGACAGUCAGACAGACAGUUUAUGUACAGAUGAAAGGUAUUAAUAAUAUGUAUUAUUCUAUAGCCUGACUCAGCUAGUCUGAGAUCCCGUCUCCCUCCCAUUCCUCCCUCAGCGACCUCCACCAUAGAGCCCUCUCAAAGGCUACCCCUCCGCCCCCCCCCCAGCCUUGCCACAAAAACGCGCACACACACACACACACACACACACACACACACACACACACACACACACACACACACACACACACACACAUGCACUCACAUGCACACACACACACACACACACACACACACACACACACACACACACACACACACACACACACACACACACACACACACACACACACACACACACACACACACACAAACACACACUCACAUGCGUACGCACACACACA